AAGCGCGAUGAGGGGAUCCCAAGUGCUUGCUCGUAAGAGUAAGCUGUUUUUAUGUCUAAAAAGCAUGGAGAGUAAGGGCUGGGUAAGACGGGUGCCAGCCGCCGCGGUAAUACCUGCAGCUCAAGUGGUGAUCGCUAUUAUUGGGCCUAAAACGUUCGUAGCCGGUUUAGUAAAUGCCUGGGUAAAUCGUGUAGCUUAACUAUACGAAUUCCGGGUAGACUGCUAAACUUGAGACCGGGAGAGGCUAGAGGUACUCCUGGGGUAGAGGUGAAAUUCUGUAAUCCUAGGGGGACCACCAGUGGCGAAGGCGUCUAGCUAGAACGGGUCUGACGGUGAGGGACGAAGCCCUGGGGCGCAAACCGGAUUAGAUACCCGGGUAGUCCAGGGUGUAAACGCUGCUUGCUUGAUGUUAGUUGGGCUCCGAGCCCAAUUAGUGUCGGAGAGAAGUUGUUAAGCAAGCUGCCUGGGAAGUACGGUCGCAAGCGCGAUGAAGCGCGAUGAAGCGCGAUGAGCACA
rnacentral:rRNA from 1 species